rnacentral:rRNA from 1 species
CGAACGCUGGCGGCACGCCUAACACAUGCAAGUCGAGCGAGACCUUCGGGUCUAGCGGCGGACGGGUUAGUAACGCGUGGGAACGUACCUUUUGCUUCGGAAUAGCCUCGGGAAACUGGGAGUAAUACCGAAUGUGCCCUUUGGGGGAAAGAUUUAUCGGCAAAAGAUCGGCCCGCGUCUGAUUAGAUAGUUGGUGGGGUAAUGGCCUACCAAGUCUGCGAUCAGUAGCUGGUUUGAGAGGAUGAUCAGCAACACUGGGACUGAGACACGGCCCAGACUCCUACGGGAGGCAGCAGUGGGGAAUCUUAGACAAUGGGCGCAAGCCUGAUCUAGCGAUGCCGCGUGAGUGACGAAGGCCUUAGGGUCGUAAAGCUCUUUCGCCAGGGAUGAUAAUGACAGUACCUGGUAAAGAAACCCCGGCUAACUCC